GGACUCAAUGCACAAAUCUCAUUUUGAGCCAAAAUGCGUGGGUCCAGCACCAAACGGUGCUGUUUCAUUUGCCAUUUAAAAAUACCAAAACAAAUCUCUGCUAGGGUUUCAACCCAGCUUUGGGGAAGCCACAAUGGAAGGUCAUCAACACUUCUAUGCCUCCGUAUCCGACGCCGAUCACGACGUGAACCCAGUCUGACAUGGCGUGGUGGAGUAGCGCACGACGCGAAGGGGAGCGCGACGUGCAGUGCCUGGAGACCGACUUGGCUGUGGCGGUUGAAGCACUUAGGAUUUCCUAUUUUGGGGUUGGGUAGUUGGGCCUGAUGGGUUUAGGGUUUGGGUAGUGAUUUGGGUUUCUAACUUUUUUGUAUUUUAGACUUAAAAAUUGGACUGGUUUGGUCUCUUUUGUUUGUUUAUUGUUUGUGGGUCUUGGGUCGGGCAAUUUUGGCCCAUUACAAUUUGGUAUAAAUAUAAUAAAGAAAACUUUGUGAUGAUUGUAUUGGAAA